rnacentral:rRNA from 1 species
UUAUUUGAGAGUUUGAUCCUGGCUCAGGAUGAACGCUGGCGGCGUGCCUAACACAUGCAAGUUGAGCGAUUUACUUCGGUAAAGAGCGGCGGACGGGUGAGUAACGCGUGGGUAACCUACCCUGUACACACGGAUAACAUACCGAAAGGUAUGCUAAUACGGGAUAAUAUAUUUGAGAGGCAUCUCUUGAAUAUCAAAGGUGAGCCAGUACAGGAUGGACCCGCGUCUGAUUAGCUAGUUGGUAAGGUAACGGCUUACCAAGGCGACGAU